rnacentral:sRNA from 1 species
UGUAUCUGAAGUCUGAUGAGGAUGAGAACCUCCGGGGGCAAGAGGUUCGACUCGAGCGAAGCGAGAGAACGUUGCGUCAGCAACGGCCCG